GUGCUCACUUGGGCAGCACAUAUACUAAAAUUGGAAUGAUACAGAGAUGAUUAGCAUUUCCCUUGCUCAAGGAUGAAUGAAAAUUCAUGAAGCAUUCCAUAUUUUU